rnacentral:rRNA from 1 species
CAGUCGCCACGGGAAUACAGAGGGUGCAAGCGUUAAUCGGAAUUACUGGGCGUAAAGCGCGCGUAGGUGGUUUGUUAAGUUGGAUGUGAAAGCCCCGGGCUCAACCUGGGAACUGCAUCCAAAACUGGCAAGCUAGAGUACGGUAGAGGGUGGUGGAAUUUCCUGUGUAGCGGUGAAAUGCGUAGAUAUAGGAAGGAACACCAGUGGCGAAGGCGACCACCUGGACUGAUACUGACACUGAGGUGCGAAAGCGUGGGGAGCAAACAGGAUUAGAUACCCCCGUAGUCCCUGUCUCUUAUCC